rnacentral:lncRNA from 1 species
UUCCUAAACUUUUCCCCCCAGUAAUGCAAGCGGGUAAAAUGGUAAAUGCAGCAGUUUGGUGACAUCCAAAACCGACCUGUUGUCAGAAUAAUAAAACUGGUAGGUGGCAGCAGCAGCAGAAGACACUCAUGACUGUGACCUGAGAAACCUCCAGUACUGGGAGAAAUGGAGUGCAAAAUACUAACUGGAGUAAGGGGAAUGGAGAAGAAAGGCAAAGUCCCUGAACUGUCCCUUUGAAUGGAAUCUAAUGCGUGUGAAAGAUGCUGGAUCACCAGGUGCAGAGAUUGAGCUCCACCCACUGGAAAGGUUUUUCUACAGCAGCAGGAGGUCUUCUCUUGCUUCUCAUGGGAGCACUUAGCGUUUUGAUAAUGCCUCCUUCACAAUGAAGGGAAGAAAGGAUGGAGCAGCAGGGAUGUGCAAUGAAGUGAUGUCCACACGUGGUGUUAACAGUCAUGAUGCCUGUCCUACUAACUUGGAGAACUGAAUAAAAGAGUUGAAUUGUAAUUCAUGAGAGUGUGAGAUUCUUUUUGGUACCUUUUGCACCAUCUCCCCUUUC